GGCGUAAAGCGCACGCAGGCGGUCUGUCAAGUCGGAUGUGAAAUCCCCGGGCUCAACCUGGGAACUGCAUUCGAAACUGGCAGGCUAGAGUCUUGUAGAGGGGGGUAGAAUUCCAGGUGUAGCGGUGAAAUGCGUAGAGAUCUGGAGGAAUACCGGUGGCGAAGGCGGCCCCCUGGACAAAGACUGACGCUCAGGUGCGAAAGCGUGGGGAGCAAACAGGAUUAGAUACCCUGGUAGUCCACGCCGUAAACGAUGUCGAUUUGGAGGUUGUGCCCUUGAGGCGUGGCUUCCGGAGCUAACGCGUUAAAUCGACCGCCUGGGGAGUACGGCCGCAAGGUUAAAACUCAAAUGAAUUGACGGGGGCCCGCACAAGCGGUGGAGCAUGUGGUUUAAUUCGAUGCAACGCGAAGAACCUUACCUG
rnacentral:rRNA from 1 species